rnacentral:rRNA from 1 species
GGACAAUGGGCGAAAGCCUGAUCCAGCAAUACCGCGUGUGUGAAGAAGGCCUUAGGGUUGUAAAGCACUUUCAAUUGGGAGGAAAACCUGUCGGCUAAUACCCGGUAGCUUGACAUUACCUUUAGAAGAAGCACCGGCUAACUCCGUGCCAGCAGCCGCGGUAAUACGGAGGGUGCGAGCGUUAAUCGGAAUUACUGGGCGUAAAGCGUGCGUAGGCGGUUCGUUAAGUCAGAUGUGAAAGCCCUGGGCUCAACCUGGGAACUGCAUUUGAAACUGGGUAACUAGAGUUUAGUAGAGGGGAGUGGAAUUUCAGGUGUAGCGGUGAAAUGCGUAGAUAUCUGAAGGAACACCAGUGGCGAAGGCGACUCCCUGGACUAGAACUGACGCUGAGGUACGAAAGCGUGGGUAGCAAACAGGAUUAGAUACCCUGGUAGUCCACGCCGUAAACGAUGUCGACUAGCCGUUGGUCCUAUUUACAGGAUUAGUGGCGCAGCUAACGCAUUAAGUCGACCGCCUGGGGAGUACGGCCCCAAGGUUAAA